rnacentral:SRP_RNA from 1 species
CGAGAGUAUUCCGUCAAUGAAUGAUUAUGAACCCCGCCAGGCCCGGAAGGGAGCAACGGUAAUAAUUUUUUUAUGUGUUGGAUUCUAUUCUCGGUG